GAGAGUAGGUGGAAAGAUACAUAUUUAGAGUGUGGUGGUGAUGGCACUGGUGGAGUAAAGAAGAAGCUCUUACCUCGUAAGAUACCGAGGUAUUUUCCACUUAUUCCUUGACUGCAGAGAUUAUAUAUGAACAAGACCACAUCAGCGCAUAUGCGUUGGCAUAAGGAAGAAUUGGUUGAAGAUGGGAAAGUGCGGCACCCAUCUAACUCAAAG
rnacentral:lncRNA from 1 species